rfam:Medicago truncatula strain A17 chromosome 3, whole genome shotgun sequence.
AUAUAAGCAAAUUUUACUUUUUAGAUUCAUUCAAUUAAUGAUGUAUAUGGUCCAUAAUAUGAACCACAUACAUCAUUAAUUGGACGAACCUAAAAAAUCAAAUUUGCUUAUAU